UUUCCGUAGGUGAACCUGCGGAAGGAUCAUUACAGAGUUCAUGCCCUCACGGGUAGAUCUCCCACCCUUGAAUAUUUAUACCUUAGUUGCUUUGGCAGGCCGUGGAAACACCAUGGGCUCCGGCUUAUGCGUGCCUGCCAGAGGAAACAAACUCUGUUUUUAGUGGUGUCUGAGUACUAUAUAAUAGUUAAAACUUUCAACAACGGAUCUCUUGGCUCUC
rnacentral:misc_RNA from 1 species